rnacentral:tRNA from 1 species
GGGGGUGUAGUCUAGUGGUUAUGAUUUCUGCUUUGCAAGCUCACUCGAGUAGAAUUGCAGAGGGUCCCGUGUUCAAAUCAUGGCGCCUCCA